rnacentral:rRNA from 1 species
CCGUAACUAUAACGGUCCUAAGGUAGCGAAAUUCCUUGUCGGGUAAGUUCCGACCUGCACGAAUGGCGUAAUGAUGGCCAGGCUGUCUCCACCCGAGACUCAGUGAAAUUGAACUCGCUGUGAAGAUGCAGUGUACCCGCGGCAAGACGGAAAGACCCCGUGAACCUUUACUAUAGCUUGACACUGAACACUGGUCCUUGAUGUGUAGGAUAGGUGGGAGGCUUUGAAGCGUGGACGCCAGUCUGCGUGGAGCCAACCUUGAAAUACCACCCUUUAAUGGCUGGUGUUCUAACGUAGACCCGUAAUCCGGGUUGCGGACAGUGUCUGGUGGGUAGUUUGACUGGGGCGGUCUCCUCCCAAAGAGUAACGGAGGAGCACGAAGGUUGGCUAAUCCUGGUCGGACAUCAGGAGGUUAGUGCAAUGGCAUAAGCCAGCUUGACUGCGAGCGUGACGGCGCGAGCAGGUGCGAAAGCAGGUCAUAGUGAUCCGGUGGUUCUGAAUGGAAGGGCCAUCGCUCAACGGAUAAAAGGUACUCCGGGGAUAACAGGCUGAUACCGCCCAAGAGUUCAUAUCGACGGCGGUGUUUGGCACCUCGAUGUCGGCUCAUCACAUCCUGGGGCUGAAGUAGGUCCCAAGGGUAUGGCUGUUCGCCAUUUAAAGUGGUACGCGAGCUGGGUUUAGAACGUCGUGAGACAGUUCGGUCCCUAUCUGCCGUGGGCGCUGGAGAAUUGAGGGGGGCUGCUCCUAGUACGAGAGGACCGGAGUGGACGCAUCACUGGUGUUCGGGUUGUCAUGCCAAUGGCACUGCCCGGUAGCUAAAUGCGGAAGAGAUAAGUGCUGAAAGCAUCUAAGCACGAAACUUGCCCCGAGAUGAGUUCUCCCUGAGACUU